rnacentral:rRNA from 1 species
UACUGCCUUCGGAGUGGGGAAGUAACGGACUGGAAACGAAGACCGCUAAUAACCGCCAUGAUGCAUCUGAGUCGCAUGGUUUGGAUGCCAAAGAUUUAUCGCUCUGAGAUGAGCUCGCGUCUGAUUAGCUAGUUGGCGGGGUAACGGCCCACCAAGGCGACGAUCAGUAGCCGGACUGAGAGGUUGGCCGGCCACAUUGGGACUGAGACACGGCCCAGACUCCUACGGAAGGCAGCAG